AUUGAACGCUGGCGGCAUGCCUUACACAUGCAAGUCGAACGGCAGCAUGGGUGCUUGCACCUGAUGGCGAGUGGCGAACGGGUGAGUAAUGCAUCGGAACGUACCCGGAAGUGGGGGAUAACGUAGCGAAAGUUACGCUAAUACCGCAUAUUCUGUGAGCAGGAAAGCGGGGGAUCGCAAGACCUCGCGCGAAUGGAGCGGCCGAUAUCAGAUUAGGUAGUUGGUGGGGUAAAGGCUCACCAAGCCAACGAUCUGUAGCUGGUCUGAGAGGACGACCAGCCACACUGGAACUGAGACACGGUCCAGACUCCUACGGGAGGCAGCAGUGGGGAAUUUUGGACAAUGGGCGCAAGCCUGAUCCAGCCAUUCCGCGUGCAGGAUGAAGGCCUUCGGGUUGUAAACUGCUUUUGUACGGAACGAAACGGUCUGCCCUAAUACGGUGGGCUAAUGACGGUACCGUAAGAAUAAGCACCGGCUAACUACGUGCC
rnacentral:rRNA from 1 species